GGGGUUGUAGCUCAGCGGUAGAGCACUCACCUGGAACGUGCAAGGCUCUGAGUUCAAUCCUCAGCACCACA
rnacentral:tRNA from 1 species